rnacentral:rRNA from 1 species
UACGUAGGGGGCAAGCGUUUGUCCGGAUUUACUGGGCGUAAAGAGCGUGUAGGCGGCCAAGCAGGUCCGUUGUGAAAACUGGAGGCUUAACCUCCAGACGUCGACGGAAACCGCGUGGCUAGAGUCCGGAAGAGGAGAGUGGAAUUCCUGGUGUAGCGGUGAAAUGCGCAGAGAUCGGGAGGAAUACCGGUGGCGAAAGCGACUCUCUGGACGGCAACUGACGCUGAGGCGCGAAAGCUAGGGAGCGAACGAGG